UACGGAGGGUGCAAGCGUUAUCCGGAUUCACUGGGUUUAAAGGGUGCGUAGGUGGGCAGGUAAGUCAGUGGUGAAAUCUCUGGGCUUAACUCAGAAACUGCCAUUGAUACUAUCUGUCUUGAAUACCGUGGAGGUCAGCGGAAUAUGUCAUGUAGCGGUGAAAUGCUUAGAUAUGACAUAGAACACCAAUUGCGAAGGCAGCUGGCUACACGAAUAUUGACACUGAUGCACGAAAGCGUGGGGGAUCAAACAGG
rnacentral:rRNA from 1 species